UUUUCGACUUCCUCUGGAGCAAAACAGGAUCAAAUGGACGAAUUUUGGAGUAAUUCCAGUUGGAGGACGUUCGUGAGUCACUUAGCUUGAUCGUAUCAAAAUUUGGGAUUUUUCCACCAAGCGGUUAUUUUCUGGCGAUGAAAUAAAGAAGUAGUGUGCAGUGCUGGAAAAUGACGUUUUUGGGCUUAAAUUGCGUUUUUGGAGCCCAAGAUGACCUCAGAUGGGUUCGUGGCCUUCUGGAAAAGUGUUCAGAAUAUUCCAAACAUCAAAUCCAGCUAUAUUGGGCCAGUUUUGGAGCAGGUUUUGGGCCAAAACGUGGCUGUUCAGAUUUUAGACGAAUUUUACUAUUUUUAUUUAGGGUUUUUAUUAAUUUUAUUUUGCUAGGGUUUGUGUGGUGGCUUAGCAAAUAUAUUGCUUAGCCGUCUACAGUUUUAGAACGCUUUAUUUUUAUGCAAUAUUGGAGACAGAGAGCAGUGCUAGGGUUUUGAAGAUUUUCUACUUGAAGGUGUUUUCAAUCCUUUUCUUAAGAGAUAUUUCUAUGUAUUCAAGUAUGAAUAUGUAGAACUAAUUUCUUUUGCUAGGGCGAAGCCUUGAGCCUUAGCAUGAAUAUGUGAUUUUUAUUUAAUUGCUUAUGAUUGAUUGCAUGUGUACUUUGAAUUGUUAAUCACCGGGAUAAAAACUAUCUAAUUGUCGUAAUGCUUGAUCACCAUUAGGAUCUUUAGAAAAGUAAUUUGAUGCAAUUUUGGUCGGAAGGUUCCCUGAAAUUGACGCUGGCUUCUUGUGAUUAAUAAUUGUAAUUUCUCUUAGGAUGAAUAUCACGUCUUAAGGAUUGCAUGGUUUUUCAAAGGAUUUUCAUAAAGCAUAAUGAGUCUUUUAUGUUCAGAUUUGAUCCGAACGUCCGGACGGGUUGCAUGUUAGAUAUACGUUCUAUGUUGGAGGUUCCAAGUAGAAUAUGAAUUAGGAAAAUCUAACCUUCAAAGUAGCAUGUAUAGAUCAUAAGUAAUGGGUAAAAAUUCAUAGGAUUGCUAGGUGAUGGUGGAACCCUAGUGCUUUCUUAAUUUGAUUUUCUCAUAACUGUUUUCUUAUCUCUAGUCCUAAUAUUGCAGAUUGUUUAUUUUAAUUCAUUAAAUUCGUUUUUAUUUUAAUUAGGUUAUAAAAUCAAUCACUUCAAUUUCUACUUUACAAUAAUUAAAUGAAAUCUGAUUAGUUCGAAUUAUUUAAUAAUCCUUGUGGAGAUGACCUUGCGAAAUCCGUUUAUACUACAAUAACCUUGUGAUUCUUGCAAGUAAAAUAGGAGAUUUAAGCCCGUUCACAUGAGUUGUAAAAAUAUCCUAUCAAGAAAAUGGCGCCGUUGCCGGGGAUUAUUUAAAAUAAUUCAUUCUAAUCAGAUUUUCAGUUAGUUAUUGCUGUUUAUACAUAUAAAAAAAAAUUAAUUUUCAUUUUUAUUUUAUUUUUCUCAUAUUACAACAACUCUUAGUUAAUUAUUUUUGUAUAUAUCUUUUUAUUUAAUUGCUGAUUUUGUUUGGUAGGUUACAAUUUGUUUCUUUUUGAGCAGUGCAACAAUGGAAUUUGCAGUUCCUCCUGAAUUCAAUCUAACACCCGGUGGACCACCUCUUUGGGUGUCAUUAGCAGAAAAGCGUUAUUACGGAUUUAAGCCUACAGUUUGUGCUCUUUGCAACUCAAGGACCCAUGAUAUUUUACAAUGUCCUGAGAGGAAAUAUUUUCCAGAUUAUGUCCAAGAGUAUAUAUAUAUGAGAAUCGAUUCAAAAUGGAACUGGAAUAAUCCCCAUUCAGAGUUCUACACUCAAAGUUUGAAAGAGCAUCUUGGGCAAUAUUUUGAGCAGCUUAAUGUGCCACAAGAGCUUUCAGUGGAGGACAAGCUCUCUAAAUUGUUGGAAUUAACUGACUUAUACAUUGAAAUAACCAAUGACGGAUUUCUGAUUCAAGCAUUAAAUUUUGGGAAGAGCUUUAAUGAUCAAGAGGAGAUUGGUGCAGGAAUUGAAGAGCAAUUUGCCACCCAGUCAUGCCCAAGAGAGGAAACACCACCUGCUGAUCGUGAAACAAUUUCCCCACAAUCCUUUCCUCCCCAAGUUUAUGUGCCACCAGAACCCUUCCCAACAGGACUGCACGAAUGCACAAGAAUUGAUAUGUUAGAAGCUGUUCAUUCAAAAUCAGUACAUCAGACAUCACAUGAUCAGCUUUUGACUACUCUGACCAUUUUGGAUUCGGAGCAACAGGCUACUGAUCAGAAAAUUUUGGUUGCUGAAUUGGACACGCAAACGUCGCAAUUCAUCAAAUUUAAAGAAAAUCAGGAUCAAUUCCGUGACAGCCAAAUUCCUCAUAGAGAAAUUCUGCCAGUGCAGAGGUUGUGGGUGUUAAAUACAAGGUUCAAGGCAGCUCGAUGGAAACAUAAACCUCACUGGAAACAACCUUAUUUGAUCACAAAGAUUCAUUCACAUAGAAGUGCACUUACGAAGAAUUCAACCACUGAUAAACAACAACUCAUUCCAUACCUACUGUUGCCGUAUGAUGCUAUCAAGAAGUGGUUAACUCGAAGGGAACAAGUGACGUGAUCAUCAAUUCAUUCCUCUACGUCUAGCUAUAGACAUUAACUAAAGCGCUAAUUGGGAGGCAACCCAAUUUUUCUAACUCUUUUCUUUUUAUUUCGUUUAUUUUAUUUUCCUGUUUUUAUUCCUAAUUACAAAAAUAAAAAAAUCAGAAAAUUGAAAAAAAAAAAAUUGCAGUUUUUAAUUUUUGUUAUUUUUCUUUACUUAUCUAAUUAGGUUUUUUAUUGCAUGUUGCAUUCAGAACUGAUUCGGCCUAAUCCCAACUAAGGGGGUGCAAUCAACAUUUAUUCCCCCAGCACAUUCAUCAUCAAUUCUUCGUCAGUUCCUCUACAUUCAUGAGAUUAGGCAGUGCGGAGUGCAGAAACAAAGUUGAAGGAUCUAAGUGGCACAGAGAAUAAGACAUGAUUAAUUUAUAGAUCUCUUCAUGCAUUAUCAACGAGCCAAUUCAAUUUCAAGCCCAGGUACUAUCGUUCUUUGCUUUGGUUUUGUUACUCAUUUUUUUUUUUUUUAUAAUUAUUAUAUGUUAGUUUAAGUUUAUUGCAUUUUUGUCAUUUUUCUUUUAUUUUCCACACCUUGAGGACAAAGUGUGAAAUAAGUUUGGGGGUGGGAAAAUAACAUUUUAGGUUUUUAUUUUUGUGUCGGUUAAAAAUUUUCAUUCUUGCUAAGUUAAUAUCCAUAAAUUAUUUUAAACAUUAGAACAAAUGGACAUGGUGAAGAUUAAUCCCACAAUAGAGUCUUUUCUAUUUAUCGUUGCCUAGACACUAAUUCAUGAAUUAUACUUUGAACUUUGCACAUCACACCAACAUGGUUUGUGGGGAGUGAGAUUGAAACACUUGCUUUUAGUCUAAGUUAUUUUUAAUUUUUGUUUUAAGUAAAGUAAGUUAUUAUUGUGAAUAAGGUAAUAAUUGUCUCACCCGAGGUUCUGCCUAGUAACCGGGCCAGUCCUGCCUAAUCAGCAGUGAUUCUCGCGUCAAACGGUAGAGUUUUGGCAUGAGGCAGGGUGGUUAGUUGGUUUCGUAGCCUUUUCAGCUCAGGUUAAUAAGUCCUUAGGGGUGUUCUACACCUAGUGCCCUAAAGCCCUAGUGGUUUGGGAGUCAUUGACCUAAAGCUCGCUACAUAGGUUGGAUCGAAAGCUUAAGUGAACCGACAUUGCACGACCACUACUGUUACUGAAAAAAAAAAUAAAGAAUAAAAAAAAUAAAAAAAUAAAAAAAAAAGGGAAAAAUAUUGAAAAAGAAAGAGAGUUAUAUUUAAAGUUACUAUGUGUGAAAUAAAUAAGGACGAGAGGUAAGGGUUUUAGUCGAGUCUCCUUAAUUAUGUUGGUUCACUUUACACCAAAGGAAGUUUGUGAAUUCUUUUCUAAUUGAUUCUAAAUGGCUUAGACUCUGUGGUGGGAUUGGUUGGAACUUUUGAAAAGAUGUUCUAGUUUUUAAAAUUUGCUAUGGAUUGCAACUUUGAAGGUGAAAAUUUUUGUCAGUUAAUUUUAGCUAGUUAGUUUGUUAAGUUUUUAUUUUUGUUUGAGUCUUAUUUUGCUUGAGGACAAGCAAAAAGCUAAGUUUGGGGGUAUUUGAUGAGUAGAUUUUAUAUUAUAUAUUUUACCCUAAUCUUAGUAUAUUUUGGUUAAUAUAUUGGAAGAAUUUUGAUACUUUGAAUUGUAUUUUCAAUAUAGGAUUUUCGACUUCCUCUGGAGCAAAACAGGAUCAAAUGGACGAAUUUUGGAGUAAUUCCAGUUGGAGGACGUUCGUGAGUCACUUAGCUUGAUCGUAUCAAAAUUUGGGAUUUUUCCACCAAGCGGUUAUUUUCUGGCGAUGAAAUAAAGAAGCAGUGUGCAGUGCUGGAAAAUGACGUUUUUGGGCUUAAAUUGCGUUUUUGGAGCCCAAGAUGACCUCAGAUGGGUUCGUGGCCUUCUGGAAAAGUGUUCAGAAUAUUCCAAACAUCAAAUCCAGCUAUAUUGGGCCAGUUUUGGAGCAGGUUUUGGGCCAAAACGUGGCUGUUCAGAUUUUAGACGAAUUUUACUAUUUUUAUUUAGGGUUUUUAUUAAUUUUAUUUUGCUAGGGUUUGUGUGGUGGCUUAGCAAAUAUAUUGCUUAGCCGUCUACAGUUUUAGAACGCUUUAUUUUUAUGCAAUAUUGGAGACAGAGAGCAGUGCUAGGGUUUUGAAGAUUUUCUACUUGAAGGUGUUUUCAAUCCUUUUCUUAAGAGAUAUUUCUAUG
rnacentral:lncRNA from 1 species